rnacentral:misc_RNA from 1 species
GAUGAAGAACGCAGCGAAAUGCGAUACGUAAUGUGAAUUGCAGAAUUCAGUGAAUCAUCGAGUCUUUGAACGCACAUUGCGCCCCCUGGUAUUCCGGGGGGCAUGCCUGUCCGAGCGUCAUUGCUGCCCUCAAGCACGGCUUGUGUGUUGGGCCUCCGUCCUCCUCCCGGGGGACGGGCCCGAAAGGCAGCGGCGGCACCGCGUCCGGUCCUCGAGCGUAUGGGGCUGCGUCACCCGCUCUUGUAGGCCCGGCCGGCGCUUGCCGACACAUCAAUCUUUUUUCCAGGUUGACCUCGGAUCAGGUAGGGAUACCCGCUGAACUUAAGCAUAUCAAUAAGCGGAGGA